AGUGAACGCUGGCGGUAGGCCUAACACAUGCAAGUCGAACGGCAGCACAGUAAGAGCUUGCUCUUACGGGUGGCGAGUGGCGGACGGGUCAGGAAUACAUCGGAAUCUACUUUUUCGUGGGGGAUAACGUAGGGAAACUUACGCUAAUACCGCAUACGACCUACGGGUGAAAGCAGGGGAUCUUCGGACCUUGCGCGAUUGAAUGAGCCGAUGUCGGAUUAGCUAGUUGGCGGGGUAAAGGCCCACCAAGGCGACGAUCCGUAGCUGGUCUGAGAGGAUGAUCAGCCACACUGGAACUGAGACACUGUCCAGACUCCUACGGGAGGCAGCAGUGGGGAAUAUUGGACAAUGGGCGCAAGCCUGAUCCAGCCAUACCGCGUGGGUGAAGAAGGCCUUCGGGUUGUAAAGCCCUUUUGUUGGGAAAGAAAAGCAGCAGGUUAAUACCCCGCUGUUCUGACGGUACCCAAAGAAUAAGCACCGGCUAACUUCGUG
rnacentral:rRNA from 1 species